UACGUAGGGUGCUAGCGUUGUCCGGAUUUAUUGGGCGUAAAGCGCACGUAGGCGGUUCGUUAUGUCGGAUGUGAAAGCCCUUGGCUUAACCGAGGAAGUGCAUCCGAAACUGGCGAGCUAGAGUACUAAAGAGGAUCGCGGAAUUCCCGGUGUAGAGGUGAAAUUCGUAGAUAUCGGGAGGAACACCGGUGGCGAAGGCGGCGAUCUGGGUAGAUACUGACGCUGAGGUGCGAAAGCGUGGGGAGCAAACAGG
rnacentral:rRNA from 1 species